rnacentral:misc_RNA from 1 species
AUUGAAAUGAUGGAAAAAUGCUAUGAGAAGUUUCAGAGUGCUGGAAUUGAACCUAGUAUCAAGACAUUCAACAUACUGUUAGAUUCAUACGGGAAAACAGAAAAUUACGAGAAAAUGGGUGCUGUGAUGGAAUUUAUGCAGAAAUAUCAUUUUUCAUGGACCAUAGUUACUUACAAUAUCGUAAUAGAUGCAUUUGGAAGGGCUGGAGAUUUAAAGCAAAUGGAAUUUCUUUUUAGGCUGAUGCAGUCUGAGAGGAUAAAACCGAACUGUGUUACUCUUUGUUCUCUCGUAAGAGCUUAUGGGAAAGCUGGCAAAGCUGAAAAACUUGGAGCUGUUUUGCGGUUUAUUGAGAAUUCUGACGUGGCACUUGACACCGUGUUUUUUAACUGUCUAGUGGAUGCAUAUGGGAUGAUG